AGUUGAACUAACGAGGUCGGAUCGCAGAGACAGCUAGGAUGUUGGCUUGGAAGCAGCCAUUCAUUUAAAGAGUGCGUAACAGCUCACUAGUCGAGCGAUCUGGCGUGGAUAAUAAUCGGGCAUAAACGAUCUGCCGAAGCCGUGGAUGUCGUAAGACAUGGUAGGGGAGCAUUCCAUGCGGCGUCGAAGAUGAGGGAUGACCCUUGUUGGAGCGCAUGGAAAAGCAAAUGUAGGUAUGAGUAACGAUAAGGGGGGCGAGAAACCCCCCCGCCGAAAGACCAAGGUUUCCUGAUCAACGCUAAUCGGAUCAGGGUGAGUCGGGACCUAAGGCAAAGCCGAACGGCGACGCCGAUGGAAGAAUGGGUUAAUAUUCCCAUACUGCCUCAUGGAGUGACGUGGAGACGGAGAAGUGACAGUCCUGCCGGCUGACGGAAUAGCCGGUUGAAGGGUGUAGAUAUUGAUUCCCGUAGGCAAAUCCGCGGGGAGAGUCGAACCUGAGAGUAUACGGAGCGCUUGCGCAACGUAAUAUGGACGUAACCAUGCUCCCAAGAAAAUCCGCUAAACUUAUCCAUGCGGCACCCGUACCGUAAACGGACACACGUGGUCGGGUUGAGAAUACUGAGGCGCUCGAGUGACUCACGGUUAAGGAACUAGGCAAAUUGACCCUGUAACUUCGGGAUAAAGGGUCCUCGUCGUAAGGCGAGGCGCAGAGAAUAGGUCCAGGCAACUGUUUAACAAAAACACAUGGCU
rnacentral:rRNA from 1 species